rnacentral:rRNA from 1 species
AUGGCGGGCGGCGACACACUGGACAGCUUCGCCGGCAAGCUCGGAGCAAUGACGGCGCGGUUCGCGGGGCUGGGCUCGACGUUGGAGGACGCCGCACUCAUGAAGAAGUUGCUCGAUUCGGUGCCGGACCGUCUGUACGGGGCGGUGGCCAGGAUCGAGCAGUUCUGUGAUGUGAGCACGAUGGCGUUCGAGGAGGCCUUGGGUCGCCUGAAGGCGUUCGACGAGCGGCUCUGGCGACGCGGGCAGGCAGGCGGCGAGCUGGCGGACGGGGCGCUCAUGUACACAACGGCGUAA